GAGUUUGAUCCUGGCUCAGGACGAACGCUGGCGGCGCGCCUAACACAUGCAAGUCGAACGAGCGAGAGAGAGCUUGCUUUCUCGAGCGAGUGGCGAACGGGUGAGUAACGCGUGAGGAACCUGGCUCAAAGAGGGGGACAACAGUUGGAAACGACUGCUAAUACCGCAUAAGCCCACAGCUCGGCAUCGAGCAGAGGGAAAAGGAGCAAUCCGCUUUGAGAUGGCCUCGCGUCCGAUUAGCUAGUUGGUGAGGUAACGGCCCACCAAGGCGACGAUCGGUAGCCGGACUGAGAGGUUGAACGGCCACAUUGGGACUGAGACACGGCCCAGACUCCUACGGGAGGCAGCAGUGGGGAAUAUUGCACAAUGGGGGAAACCCUGAUGCAGCGACGCCGCGUGGAGGAAGAAGGUCUUCGGAUUGUAAACUCCUGUUGUUGAGGAAGAUAAUGACGGUACUCAACAAGGAAGUGACGGCUAACUACGUGCCAGCAGCCGCGGUAAAACGUAGGUCACAAGCGUUGUCCGGAAUUACUGGGUGUAAAGGGAGCGCAGGCGGGAAGACAAGUUGGAAGUGAAAUCUAUGGGCUCAACCCAUGAACUGCUUUCAAAACUGUUUUUCUUGAGUAGUGCAUAGGUAGGCGGAAUUCCCCGGUGUAGCGGUGGAAUGCGUAGAUAUCGGGAGGAGCACCAAUGGCGAAGCCGGCCUACUGGGCACCAACUGACGCUGAGGCUCGAAAGUGUGGGUAGCAAACAGGAUUAGAUACCCUGGUAGUCCACACCGUAAACGAUGAUUACUAGGUGUUGGAGGAUUGACCCCUUCAGUGCCGCAGUUAACACAAUAAGUAAUCCACGUGGGGAGUACGACCGCAAGGUUGAAACUCAGAGGAAUUGACGGGGGCCCGCACAAGCAGUGGAGUAUGUGGUUUAAUUCGACGCAACGCGAAGAACCUUACCAAGUCUUGACAUCCCUUGACGAUGCUGGAAACAGUAUUUCUCUUCGGAGCAAGGAGACAGGUGGUGCAUGGUUGUCGUCAGCUCGUGUCGUGAGAUGUUGGGUUAAGUCCCGCAACGAGCGCAACCCUUACUGUCAGUUACUACGCAAGAGGACUCUGGCAGGACUGCCGUUGACAAAACGGAGGAAGGUGGGGAUGACGUCAAAUCAUCAUGCCCUUUAUGACUUGGGCUACACACGUACUACAAUGGCGUUAAACAAAGAGAAGCGAGACCGCGAGGUGGAGCAAAACUCAGAAACAACGUCCCAGCUCGGACUGCAGGCUGCAACUCGCCUGCACGAAGUCGGAAUUGCUAGUAAUCGCGGAUCAGCAUGCCACGGUGAAUACGUUCCCGGACCUUGUACAGACCGCCCGUC
rnacentral:rRNA from 1 species